ensembl:lncRNA
GGUGGUGGUGUUGGUGAUGAUGGUUGUUUGGUGGUGGUGAUGGUAGUUGUGGGGUGGUGAUGAUGGUAGAUUUGGGGUGGUGAGGAUGGUGGUCAUGGUAGUUAUGGGGUGGUGAAGGUUGUUGUGUGGUGCUGAUGGUUGUUAUGGGGUGGUAAUGGUAGUUAUGGGGUGAUGAUGGUAGUUAUGUGUCGGUGAUGGUACUUAUGGGGUGGUGAUGGUUGUUAUAGGGUGGUGGUGAUGGUUAUGUUGUGGUGAUUGUAGUUAUGGUGUGGUGGUGGUGGUGGUGAUGGUAAUUAUGGGGUGGUGAUGGUAGUUAUGGGGUGACAAUGGCAUUUAAGGGGUGGUGAUGGUAGUUUUUGGGUGGUGAUGAUAGUUAUGGGGUGGUGAUGGUAAUGAUGGUAGUUAUGGGAUGGUGGUGAUGGUAGUUAUGUGGUGGUGAUGGUAUUAUGGGGUGCUGAUGGUAGUUUUGGGGUGGUGAUGGUAGUUAUGGGGUUUUGGUGGUAGUUAUGGGGUGGUGAUGGUACUUAUGGGGUUGUGAUGGUGGUAGUUAUGGGGUGGUGAUGGGAGUUAUGGGGUGGUGAAGAUAUUAUGGGGUGCUGAUGGUUGUUAUGGGGUGGUUAUGGUAGUUGUGAUGGUAGUUAUAUGGUGGCCAUGGUGGUGGUGGUUGUGGCAGUGGUGGCGGUGGUGGUGGUGGUGGUGGGGAUGGUAGUUAUGGGGGGAUGAUGGUGGUGAUGGUAGUUAUGGGGUGGUGGUAAUGGAAGUUAUGGUGUAUUGAUGGUAGUUAUGGAGUGGUGAUGUAGUUAUGGCGUGGUGAUGGUAGUUAUGGGGUGGUGAUGGUAGCUAUGGGGUGGUGGUGUUGGUGAUGAUGGUUGUUUAGGGGUGGUGAUGGUGGUGGUGAUGGUAGUUGUGGGGUGGUGAUGAUGGUGGUGAUGGUAGUUAUGGAGUGGUGUUGAUGGUAGAUUUGGGGUGGUGAGGAUGGUGGUCAUGGUAGUUAUGGGGUGGUGAUGGUUGUUUUGUGGUGCUGAUGGUUGUUAUGGGGUGGUAAUGGUAGUUAUGGGGUGAUGAUGGUAGUUAUGUGUCGGUGAUGGUACUAAUGGGGUGGUGAUGGUUGUUAUAGGGUGGUGGUGAUGGUUAUGUUGUGGUGAUUGUAGUUAUGGUGUGGUGGUGGUGGUGGUGAUGGUAAUUAUGGGGUGGUGAUGGUAGUUAUGGGGUGACAAUGGCAUUUAAGGGGUGGUGAUGGUAGUUUUUGGGUGGUGAUGAUAGUUAUGGGGUGCUGAUGGUAGUUAUGGGGUGGUGAUGGUAGUUAUGGGGUGGUGAUGGUAGUUAUGGGGUGGUGAUGGUAUUAUGGGGUGGUGAUGGUAGUUAUGGGGUGGUGAUGGAAGUUAUGGGGUGGUGAGGGUAUCAUGGGGUGCUGAUGGUAGUUAUGGGGUGGUGGUGG